rnacentral:rRNA from 1 species
GAGUUUGAUCGUGGCUCAGAUUGAACGCUGGCGGUAUGCUUAACACAUGCAAGUCGAACGGUAACAGGCUAGCUUGCUAGCGCUGACGAGUGGCGGACGGGUGCGUAACGCGUAGGAAUCUGCCUAUUAGUGGGGGACAACCUGGUGAAAACCAGGCUAAUACCGCAUACGCCCUACGGGGGAAAGCAGGGGAUCUUCGGACCUUGCGCUAAUAGAUGAGCCUGCGUUAGAUUAGCUUGUUGGUGAGGUAAUGGCUCACCAAGGCGACGAUCUAUAGCUGGUCUGAGAGGACGAUCAGCCACACUGGGACUGAGACACGGCCCAGACUCCUACGGGAGACAGCAGUGGGGAAUAUUGGACAAUGGGCGGAAGCCUGAUCCAGCAAUACCGCGUGUGUGAAGAAGGCCUGAGGGUUGUAAAGCAC